rnacentral:tRNA from 1 species
AGGGAGGUAACUCAGUGGGUAAGAGUAUUUGCUCUGCAAGCAUGAGGAACUGAGUUCAAAUCCCAGCACCCUC